rnacentral:lncRNA from 1 species
UAUUUAUCCUAUAAAACUGCCAAAGAGGUAUGGGAUCUCGCCCAAUCUAUGUAUUCUGAUUUUGGUAACUCAUCCCAAAUGUUUAAAAUCGAUAUUAAGAGAUAUGAGGCAAGGCGAAACUACUAUAAUCGAUUACUAAAAUAUUUUGGUGGGUCUUUGGCAAGAAUUUGAUUUAUUUAAUGAUGUACGCUGGUCAUGCCCAGGAGAUGCUCUGAAGAAUACUCAGAAACUAGAAAAGGAGAGAUUGUUCGAUUUUCUUCAUGGACUGAACAAGGAAGGAUUCUUGGUAUAAAGCCACUGCUGUCAAUACAAGAUGCCUUUGCAAAGGUUCGACAUGAAGAGAGUAGAAGGAGAGUCAUGAUGAAAUCUAGUUAUGUGGAAAACUCUCUGCAGAACUCAGCACUUGCAGCAAAGCGACCCGUCUAUAACCAACAACAAAAUCAGGAGCAGCGUAGAGAAAAAAAGGAUUGGCGUGACUACUGUAAGAGAUUCUAUCAUACUAAAGAAAAUUGUUGGAAGAUAAAUGGAAAACCUACAAACUGGCAACCAAGGCAUGAACGUGAUGGCAAUGGCAGAGAAUUUCAACUUGCAGGAGAUGGUAGAGGAUUCCAAGUCAGGUAAUCAGCAAGGGAGAUCCUGUUUUAGUCCCAAACAGAUUUCAGAAUUGCAGACUUUGCUUCAAAAUCUGCAAAGUACUUCACACCAACCACAUCAGGCUCUUCAUCAGGAUGCUUCACAGCCAAGUAUUAAUGCCAAUUGCAAUAUAGCCCAGAAAGAUAGCUUCUCCACUGCUCUAAUUACGAAGACAUCAGUGAAUGAUCUAUGGAUAAUUGAUUCAGGGGCUUCAGACCAUAUGACAGGGAAUUAUGAGUUAUUUUCUGACUAUAUUUCGUGUUCUGGUUCAUUGAAAAUCAGGAUUGCUGAUAGUUCUUUAUCCUCAAUUAUAGGGAUAGGGACUAUUGUGGUCUCACCACUUAUAACUCUCAAAUCAGUUUUACAUGUUCCCAAUCUUUCAUGUCAUCUUAUUUCAAUAAUCAAACUAACUAAAGACUUGAGUUGUGAAGUUAACUUUUCUCCAUAUAUGUGUAAAUUUCAGGAUUUGUAUUCAGGGAAGAUGAUUGGCAUUGCUAAGUGAAGUAAUGAUUUGUACUAUCUUGAAGAUUCCAAGGAAGGCAAGACUGCUCAGUUUCAAGCUUAUGGAAGUAAAAGUGUUUCUAGCUCAAGUUCCGUUCCUACAUAUGUUUUGAAUAAAGUGAUGUUAUGGCAUAAAAGACUAGGGCAUCCUAACUUUAGUUAUUUGAAGAAGUUGUUUCCAACGUUAUUCAAUAAUAAAGAUGCAAGUUUGUUCAAA